AGUGAACGCUGGCGGUAGGCCUAACACAUGCAAGUCGAACGGCAGCACAGUAAGAGCUUGCUCUUACGGGUGGCGAGUGGCGGACGGGUGAGGAAUACAUCGGAAUCUACUUUUUCGUGGGGGAUAACGUAGGGAAACUUACGCUAAUACCGCAUACGACCUACGGGUGAAAGCAGGGGAUCUUCGCACCUUGCGCGAUUGAAUGAGCCGCUGUCGGAUUAGCUAGUUGGCGGGGUAAAGGCCCACCAAGGCGACGAUCCGUAGCUGGUCUGAGAGGAUGGUCAGCCACACUGGAACUGAGACACGGUCCAGACUACUACGGGAGGCAGCAGUGGGGAAUAUUGGACAAUGGGGGGAAGCCUGAUCCAGCCAUACCGCGUGGGUGAAGAAGGCCUUCGGGUUGUAAAGCCCUUUUGUUGGGAAAGAAAAGCAGCAGGUUAAUACCCCGCUGUUCUGACGGUACCCAAAGAAUAAGCACCGGCUAACUUCGUG
rnacentral:rRNA from 1 species